rnacentral:misc_RNA from 1 species
GACGGGGGAUGCAAGUGUUAUCCGGAAUUAUUGGGCGUAAAGGGUACGUAGGUGGUUGAAGAACGUCUGUUUUGAUACAAAUAUUAAAGUUUUCUUUUUUACUUUAUAAACAGAUACCCUUUUUCUAGAGAUUAUAAUGAGAGUAAAAGGUAUUUCCAAAGGAUCAGUAAAAUGUGUUGAUAAUGGAGAGACCAUCAAAGGCGUAGGCAUUUUACUUAUAUAAUUCUGACGCUGAGGUACGAAAGCUAGGGGCACAAAUGGG